GACGAACGCUGGCGGCGUGCUUAACACAUGCAAGUCGAACGGAAAGGCCCUGCUUUUGUGGGGUGCUCGAGUGGCGAACGGGUGAGUAACACGUGAGUAACCUGCCCUUGACUUUGGGAUAACUUCAGGAAACUGGGGCUAAUACCGGAUAGGAGCUCCUGCUGCAUGGUGGGGGUUGGAAAGUUUCGGCGGUUGGGGAUGGACUCGCGGCUUAUCAGCUUGUUGGUGGGGUAGUGGCUUACCAAGGCUUUGACGGGUAGCCGGCCUGAGAGGGUGACCGGCCACAUUGGGACUGCGAUACGGCCCAGACUCCUACGGGAGGCAGCAGUGGGGAAUAUUGCACAAUGGGCGGAAGCCUGGUGCAGCAACGCCGCGUGCGGGAUGACGGCCUUCGGGUUGUAAACCGCUUUCGCCUGUGACGAAGCGUGAGUGACGGUAAUGGGUAAAGAAGCACCGGCUAACUACGUG
rnacentral:rRNA from 1 species